rnacentral:rRNA from 1 species
UAACGAAUAUUCCGCAAUGGGCGCAAGCCUGACGGAGCAAUGCCGCGUGCAGGAUGAAGCGGCUUCGCCGUGUAAACUGCUGUCAGGGGACAGAAAUACUGAUCGUCCCCAGAGGAAGAGACGGCUAACCCUGUGCCAGCAGCCGCGGUAAUACAGGGGUCUCAAGCGUUAAUCGGAAUCACUGGGCUUAAAGGGUGCGUAGGCGGCCUAGCAAGUGUCCUGUGAAAUACCCCGGCUCAACCGGGGAACA